GUUUUUUGUUAUUGAUCUUCUUUGGAUAUCCCGUGUUCUGGUGUGACGGAGUCUGCCUUUGUGAUGCAAAUGAAAAACAAACGCAUUCUUCGCUCUGUGUACAUUAAUCGCUUAAAUUGACUAAUAACCUCUUAAGUGAGAACUUGUUUGAGAGUGGUUACCGUUCUGUUGACGUCUCGCGAACCUCCCAGGAGAAUCCGGCUAUCAGACGAUGAAACACGGCCAUGUGUUUUGACUUUGAAGCAAGCAAAACGGACUUCGACCACCUAAAUUAAACUCAAGAAGGAUCAAUGUUAAACCUUCCUCGAUACGAGGAAAACAAAAGCAGUUGUUUUCGUUCUCUCAAGUUUAACCCCUGAAUGGAAAUCGCUGGAAAAUACAUUGAAAUGAAUACUAGGAGUCCAAAAUUGAACAGACAUAAGCUUGAACACACUGUAAAUGUUCUGAAGGAUGAGAUCAAACGACUCCAAAAGGAAGUACACCAAGUCAGGACGGAUUUGAAGAUUCAGCGUGCGAGGUCACUGGACUUGACGUACGCUUUUCAAGAGAAAGAAAAGGAGUUAGAACUAUGCCAGAAAGAUUACGACCGGGAGAU